GACGAACGCUGGCGGCGUGCUUAACACAUGCAAGUCGAACGAAGUGGCGAACGGGUGAGUAAUACGUGGGUAACCUGCCCUCCUUUUUGGGAUAAGCCUUGGAAACGGGGUCUAAUACCGAAUAAAGGGGGUUGGGCUCGCGGCCUAUCAGCUUGUUGGGGGGGUGAUGGCAUACAAGGGAGGUGACGGGUAGCCGGCCUGAGAGGGUGACGGGCCACAUUGGGAGUGAGACACGGCCCAGACUACUACGGGAGGCAGCAUUGGGGAAUAUUGCACAAUGGGCGCAAGCCUGAUGCAGCCAUGCCGCGUGUAUGAAGAAGGCCUUCGGGUUGUAAAGUACUUUCAGCGAGGAGGCGUUACUCGCAGAAGAAGCACCGGCUAACUCCGUGCCAGCAGCCGCGGUAAUUC
rnacentral:rRNA from 1 species